rnacentral:tRNA from 2 species
UCUUCCGUAGUAUAGUGGUCAGUAUGUGAGCUUGUCAAGCCGACAUCGCUCGAGACCCGGGUUCAAUUCCCGGCGGGAGAG